UGGGGAAUAUUGGGCAAUGGGCGUAAGCCUGACCCAGCAACGCCGCGUGAAGGAAGAAGGCUUUCGGGUUGUAAACUUCUUUUCUGAGGGACGAUAGUGACGGUACCUCAGGAAUAAGCCACGGCUAACUACGUGCCAGCAGCCGCGGUAAUACGUAGGUGGCAAGCGUUAUCCGGAUUUACUGGGUGUAAAGGGCGUGUAGGCGGGAUGGUAAGUCAGAUGUGAAAACUAUGGGCUCAACCCAUAGCCUGCAUUUGAAACUAUCGUUCUUGAGUGUUGGAGAGGCAGGCGGAAUUCCGUGUGUAGCGGUGAAAUGCGUAGAUAUACGGAGGAACACCAGUGGCGAAGGCGGCCUGCUGGACAAUAACUGACGCUGAGGCGCGAAAGCGUGGGGAGCAAACAGGAUUAGAUACC
rnacentral:rRNA from 1 species